rnacentral:rRNA from 1 species
AUUGAACGCUGGCGGCAGGCCUAACACAUGCAAGUCGAACGGUAACAGGAAGAACUUUGCUUCUUUGCUGUCGCGUCGCGGACGGGUGUGUCAUGUCUGGAAAACUGCUUGAUGGCGGGGGUUAAUUCCUGGAACCGGUAGCUAUUACCGCAUAUAGUCGCAAGCGCAUGGUGCGGGAGCUUCGGGCCUCCUGCCAUUCGCUUUUACCGGAUUGCAUUAGCUAGUAGGUAGGGUAACGGCUCACCCAGGCGACGAUCCCUAGCUGAUCUGAGAGGAUGACCGGCCACACUGGAACUGAGACACGGUCCAGACUCCUACGGGAGGCAGCAGUAGGGAAUAUUGCGCAAUGGGCGAAAGCCUGACGGAGCCAUGCCGCGUGUAUGAAGAAGGCCUUCGGGUUGUAAAGUACUGUCAGCGGGGAAGAAGAGAGUUAUGAGAAAACCUGCACACAUUGACGGUACCUGAAGAAGAAGCACCGGCUAACUCCGUG